ensembl:snRNA U6 U6 spliceosomal RNA
UCGCUGCAGCAGCACACACACUAAAACCGGAACGAUACAGAGAAGAUGAGCGUGGCCCCUGUGCAAGGGUGACAGGCAAAACAUAGUUGCACAAAAGACUGAU